CCUACGGGAGACAGCAGUAGGGAAUAUUGCUCAAUGGGGGAAACCCUGAAGCAGCAACGCCGCGUGGAGGAUGAAGGUUUUCGGAUUGUAAACUCCUUUUGUUAGAGAAGAUAAUGACGGUAUCUAACGAAUAAGCACCGGACAACUCCGUGCCAGCCGCCGCGGUAAUACGGAGGGUGCAAGCGUUACUCGGAAUCACUGGGCGUAAAGGGCGCGUAGGCGGGAUAGCAAGUCAGAUGUGAAAUCCUAUGGCUUAACCAUAGAACUGCAUUUGGAACUGUUAUUCUAGAGUAUGGGAGAGGUAGGUGGAAUUCUUGGUGUAGGGGUAAAAUCCGUAGAGAUCAAGAAGAAUACUCAUUGCGAAGGCGACCUGCUAGAACAUAACUGACGCUGAUGCGCGAAGGCGUGGGGAGCAAACAGGAUUAGAUACCCGGGUAGUC
rnacentral:rRNA from 1 species